rnacentral:rRNA from 1 species
GAUGAACGCUGGCGGCGUGCCUAAUACAUGCAAGUCGAACGAAUCUUCUUCGGAAGAUGAGUGGCGAACGGGUGAGUAAUACAUAGGUAACCUGCCCCUGUGCGGGGAUAACAGGAGGAAACUCCUGCUAAUACCGCAUAGCCAUGAGCACCGCAUGGAGCUCAUGCCAAAUAUCCUUCAGGGGAUAGCGCAGGGAUGGACCUAUGGCGCAUUAGCUAGUGGGCGGGGCAACGGCCCACCAAGGCAACGAUGCGUAGCCGGCCUGAGAGGGCGGACGGCCACAUUGGGACUGAGACACGGCCCAGACUCCUACGGGAGGCAGCAGUAGGGAAUUUUCGGCAAUGGGGGAAACCCUGACCGAGCAACGCCGCGUGAGCGAAGAAGGCCUUCGGGUCGUAAAGCUCUGUUGUAAAGGAAGAACGUCGCAUGCAGGAAAUGGUGUGCGAGUGACGGUACUUUACCAGAAAGCCACGGCUAACUACGUGCCAGCCGCCGCCGUAAGAC